UGUGAUUGGAGGAAUUUGAUGUAUGCAUUUGAUGUAGGAAUUGGAUUUGAGAGGUAUGUGUAUAACAUUUGAGGGUAUGUGUUUAGGGAUUUUGAUAAGAGGAUUUGAGGACUUUAGAUUUGAGGGAUUUGGAUUUGGUGAAAAAUAUGAGGAAUUUGAUUCAGGGUUUUGGAUUUGAAUAUGAGAAAUUUGAGAUAAGGGUUUAGAGACAACCUAGGAUUGAUUGCUCUGAUAUCAUGCUUAAAUAUAAAUAUAGUUUGAAUACUCUGGGUUAGGUUUUAUUCUUCUCCAUUAGGAGGUAUAU
rnacentral:lncRNA from 1 species